GCUUUGGGUGGGCCAAAGGGGAAGCCGGGUCCUUUUCUAGGGCGGUCGCACAGGCAGCGGCAGUGCGAAGCUGGCUUCAGCCAACAUGUACUACAAGUUUAGCAGUUUCACGCAGAAGUUGGCUAGUGCUUGGGCUUCGGAAGCCUAUACUCCGCAGAGGUCCUGAGUUCAAUUCCCAGCAACCACAUGGUGGCUCGAAACCAUCUGUAAUGAGAUCUGAUGCCCUCUUCUGGUGUGUCUGAAGACAGCGACAGUGUACUCACUCACAUACAUUAAAUAAGAAGCAGAUGUAACAGGAUCAGGAGUUCAAGACCAGCCUGGGCUGCAAGUGAGUUAAAGGCCAGCUCAGGAUACAUGGACCUGUUGUGAGCCACCAUGGCAGAAACCAAAAAAGGGUUUUAAGCCGGUUUCCAGAGAAGCACCGCCUAUCAUAUUUGCCACACCGACCAAACUGACCUCCAGUGUGACAGCAUAUGACUAUGCUGGGAAGAAUAAAGUUCCAGAGCUACAGAGAUUCUUCCAGAAGGCUGACGGUGUGCCCAUCCACCUGAAACGAGGCCUUCCGGACCAAAUGCUUUACCGGACCACCAUGGCUCUCACAGUGGGAGGGACCAUCUACUGCCUGAUCGCCCUCUACAUGGCCUCGAAGCCCAAAAACAAAUGAAUUUGCCUGUGGAGGACUGGUUUACUUUGUGACACAAACCCUUUGAAUUCUCGAGUUUCAUUUUUUCCCCCCUUGGAUAGUCUCCUUAACAUUUUGCAAACAAAGGAAAAGAUAAGAAUACACUGGUUUGUUUAUGGCGUGCAGAUGGCCUGUCAGAUGUCAGCUUGUUUUACAGUUAGAACUAUUGUUUAAGGAAAUGACACCAAGCCAUCGCUGAGCCAUCGUGCUCCUGGUCUCCCACGAGAUUCUGGGUGAAAGUUGUUCACAAACUCACUCAUGGCCAGCAGUGCUCAGGGCCUCCGGGACUCGGGGGGUGUCUGAGUGUGAAGCAGAGAAGCCUUUUGGGUGUAGGUGUGAUUGAGGAAGGAGACCAAAGCCAGGGCACAGGUGGGUGACAUGAGGGCUUGAGUUAGCCACCCGGGGGGUUGCUCCACCUUGCAGAAAAAUGCUAGUAGAAAUUAUUUGCAGUCUGCCUCUAAUUGUUGGGCAGUUUGUUUCAAAGGGUUGUUUGCCUCUCCCAGACCUUAGGGAAGUGUGUCUUUGUUUCAUCAUGGGAAAGAACACCUGUCAGUGUUGCACUUUAGACAGCUGUACCAGUAAUUCUCCUUUAAUCAUGCUGCGGCUUGACGUUAUGAUUUACUUGACUGCGGAAUAAAUACAUGAGCAAAGA